ACGAGCAGAGAGAGGGAGAGAGAGAGGACCUUAAGCAGGCCCUGCACUGUGAGUGCAGAGCCCGAUGCGGGGCUCAAACUCACGAACUGUGAGAUCACGACCUGAGCCAAAACCAGGAGCUGGAUGCUUAACCUUGUGUGAUGGAGCCCCCAUUUCCCUCUGUAUCUGGAUAUUUUGUGGCCAUUCUUUGCUUACAGAUAGUAGUACUCGCUUCAGAAAGAGCAUCAAAAAAACCUGUGGCCAUAUUUAAUCCACCCCAAAUGGACACUGAGAAAAGCAACUGGAAUAUUCGAUAAGUGAAGACCGUUUAUUGUUCAACAUAGCAGUCCACACGCCGCCUCUGGACAGUGGUCCCUUCGUUAAGUAUGGACAGAGUGACUACUACGUUCUGGCACUAUCAUCCCUGGAGACGAUAAUGAGAAUUUAUAAAAGGGAAUAAAACAGAAACUCUGCAUGGCUCACGUGUUAGUGGGCCAUGAGAGGAUAUAAGGACAGGAAUUAAAAAUAUCAGUCGGGGUGCCUGGGUGGCUCAGUCAGUUGGGCGUCCGACUUCAGCUCAGGUCAUGUUCUUGCAGUUCGUGGGUUCGGGCCCCGCGUCGGGCUCUGUGCUGGCAGCUCGGAGCCUGGGGCCUGCUUCAGGUUCUGCGUCUCCCUCUCUCUCUGCCC